GUUUGUUUUUACAGUAAAAAAAUGUGGAAAGAUCUGCUGAAGAUCUUGUAUCUUAAUUAGAUACAGAGAAGCUACAAAUCACAGACCCUAGUGAUAAACUUUGUCAUUACUCAGCUUCUGCUUUCAAACCUGAGAGGUGGGAGAAUGUAGAGCUAUUUUCUGUGUUUAAAAACUGAGUCUACAGAUUUUAUGUUCUCUUUUCCUGCUUUCCAUUUAUCUGUUUUAUUCAUGCU
rnacentral:lncRNA from 1 species